rnacentral:lncRNA from 1 species
AUUGCACCACAUGUGGAGUAUUUUUCAUUCAUUGGAUCAGAUGAUCAUGGUAAUAGUUGGACUCAUCAUGGAAAAUUAAUUUUAACUGGUGGUAAACAAGAUUCUCUCUAUCUUUGGAAAUAUGUUGGUGAUGAUAGAAGAGUACUAUACAUUGGUUCAGAUGCAGAAACUUUGGCUAUGAUGAAAAAGUCACAUGAGUUCCAAAAGAAGUUUCUUUGGGUUGAAGUGUUUCUUGUAGAAUUGGUAUUUGUGCUAAUACAAAAUUCUCUCAUCACUUUUGCAAUUUUUCAAGUAUUUUCAAAUCAGUUGGGUACU